rnacentral:sRNA from 1 species
GUCGUGAGAUGUUGGGUUAAGUCCCGCAACGAGCGCAACCCUUGUCUCAUGUUGCCAGCGCGUUAUGGCGGGGACUCGUGAGAGACUGCCGGGGUCAACUCGGAGGAAGGUGGGGAUGACGUCAAGUCAUCAUGCCCCUUAUGUCCAGGACUUCACACAUGCUACAAUGGCCGGUACAAAGGGCUGCGAUGCCGUGAGGUUAAGCGAAUCCUUUAAAGCCGGUCUCAGUUCGGAUCGGGGUCUGCAACUCGACCCCGUGAAGUCGGAGUCGCUAGUAAUCGCAGAUCAGCAACGCUGCGGUGAAUACGUUCCCGGGCCUUGUACACACCGCCCGUCACGUCAUGAAAGUCGGUAACACCCGAAGCCAGUGGCCUAACCCUUGUGGGGGGAGCUGUCGAAGGUGGGAUCGGCGAUUGGGACGAAGUCGUAACAAGGUAGCCGUACCGGAAGGUGCGGCUGGAUCACCUCCUUUCUAAGGAGCACCACGAAAUACGCCCCGCAUCUUCGUGGGGUGUGAGCCGUGAAGGGGUGCGCUGCUGUAGUGGCGCGCACCGGGUGCACGACAACAAUUUCCCUCGUCAUUGUGUGGUGGGGGCAUGAAUCGCCGGACACACUAUUGGGCCCUGAGACAACACUCGGCUGGUCCGUGUGGAGUCUCCCCAUCUUGGUGGUGGGGUAUGGUGUUUGAGUGUUGGAUAGUGGUUGCGAGCAUCUAAGCAAGAUCGCUGUAUUUUUUGCAGUGUUUUUUGUUGAGUGUUUUUUUGUGUUUGUAAGUGUUUAAGGGCGCAUGGUGGAUGCCUUGGCAUCAGGAGCCGAUGAAGGACGUGGGAGGCUGCGAUAUGCCUCGGGGAGCUGUCAACCGAGCGUGGAUCCGAGGAUGU